rnacentral:sRNA from 1 species
CUGUUGAUCAAUAGGAUGGAAAGUGAAUACACAGUAAGAAUCAGAAAAAAUAAAAACUGAAUGAUUGAGAAAAGAAAAGACAAUACUGAAAAACACCUAUUAGAUGUUGAGAGAGGAGACAGAACAAAAGAUAAAACAUAGCAAUGUCAGGGUUUGGCAAGAACAGUGACAAGCUAUCCCAUAAAUGGCUGGAAAAUGUUGUGUUAUUAUGGAAAUCACACCAGAGAAAGGUUGAUCUUCAAAAGAGAGGGUCCCUCUGAGCGAGAAGGGCACACAAGUGUAGGUGGGGAUUGGGUUUCUUAUAUCAAAAAUAGCACCAAUCAACACCAUUCUAAGGCCAGAAGGGUUAUUUCCAUUCCUGGGCAGUGAUGGUGAUGAUUUCAUGCAAAAGAAGCCACAAUUGACACCCGCUUCUACAUAAAUGCUCCAACAAAGUCAUAGGGGAUUAGGAAUGUGAUGCAACAAUGCUAAAGUGGUGUAAUCACGUGUCAAUGACUGAAAUGACAGCUAUGAAUAAGAAAUCCUCCAAAGUAGGAAAAAAAUACAAGCAUAAGCAUGAUAAUAUAAAUUGUAACAUUAGCAAUACGUAAAAGGUAAAAAAAUGAAAUAAAUAAUUAAAAACCUUUGUUUUUUAUUAAAACAAAAAGGGAAACUGUUAGGCAUGUAAAUAAUGAGGAAGAGUGGACUAGGUAUUAUAAAAGGAAUGAUAGGAUAUGGAAGGUUUAUUGUAGAAGGAAAAAUAAAAGGAAGCAGUGGAAAAGGUUAUCAUAGAAUAUAAGAAUAAAGGAAGCGAUGAAUAAAGGAAGAAAUGGAAAAAUAAGUGGAUGCAGUGCUGUAAGUUGGAGUUGAUCUAUAUAAUUAGACCAAUCAAUUCCUUGGAGGAGACAAUGAUAAUUUUGUAGUUUGAGCUUUAACUCCUUGUAAAGUUGGAAGGAAAGGUGGCAAAGGUUGUGGGUUUAACUCUACCCACUAACACUUAGGAGUUAUAAGAUUGGUUUAGUGGGUUUGGAAGGGAGGGUGGAGAGAUUGUGGGUUUAACUCCCCCCACUAACAUAAUACUAACAACUAACAUUUGCCAAUCUAAAAGCAAAAAAACGUGAAUAAACUAUUAGACUUGGGUUUGUGAUCUAUGUUAGUUUUCC